rnacentral:rRNA from 1 species
GAUCCUGGCUCAGAUUGAACGCUGGCGGCAUGCUUUACACAUGCAAGUCGAACGGCAGCAUGGAGAGCUUGCUCUCUGAUGGCGAGUGGCGAACGGGUGAGUAAUACAUCGGAACGUGUCCUGUUGUGGGGGAUAACUACUCGAAACGAGUAGCUAAUACCGCAUAAGACCUAAGGGUGAAAGCGGGGGACCUUCGGGCCUCGCGCAGUUGGAGCGGCCGAUGACUGAUUAG